GAUGAACGCUGGCGGCGUGCCUAAUACAUGCAAGUCGAGCGAACAGACGAGGAGCUUGCUCCUCUGACGUUAGAGGCGGACGGGUGAGUAACACGUGGAUAACCUACCUAUAAGACUGGGAUAACUUCGGGAAACCGGAGCUAAUACCGGAUAAUAUAUUGAACCGCAUGGUUCAAUAGUGAAAGACGGUUUUGCUGUCACUUAUAGAUGGAUCCGCGCCGCAUUAGCUAGUUGGUAAGGUAACGGCUUACCAAGGCAACGAUGCGUAGCCGACCUGAGAGGGUGAUCGGCCACACUGGAACUGAGACACGGUCCAGACUCCUACGGGAGGCAGCAGUAGGGAAUCUUCCGCAAAGGGCGAAAGCUUGACGGAGCAACGCCGCGUGAGUGAUGAAGGUCUUCGGAUCGUAAAACUCUGUUAUUAGGGAAGAACAAAUGUGUAAGUAACUAUGCACGUCUUGACGGUACCUAAUCAGAAAGCCACGGCUAACUACGUG
rnacentral:rRNA from 1 species